AUCUGCCACGUUGAAUACACCAGUUCUCGUCCGAUUACUGAAGUUAAGAAACGUUGGGUGUGGCCAGUACAUGGAUAACCGCCUGGGAGAUCACGUGAUC
rnacentral:rRNA from 1 species